rnacentral:rRNA from 1 species
AGCGAACGUUAGCGGCGGGCUUUAACACAUGCAAGUCGAGCGAGAGAGUGACUUCGGUCAUGAGUAAAGCGGCAGACGGGUGAGGAACACGUAGGUAAUUUUCCGUUUAGUGGGGGACAACGGUCCGAAAGGACCGCUAAUACCGCAUACGUUUCCUUGGGGCUUUGGCCCUGGGGAGGAAAGCUGGGUCAACUGGCGCUAAAAUGAGAAAGCCUGCGUCGCAUCAGCUAGUUGGUGGGGUAAUGGCCUACCAAGGCGAAGACGCGUAAGCUGGUCUGUAGAGGAUGAUCAGCCACACUGGAACUGAGACACGGUCCAGACU